AUUGAACGCUGGCGGCGGGCCUAACACAUGCAAGUCGAACGAGUGGCGGACGGGUGAGUAAUGUCUGGGAAACUGCCUGAUGGAGGGGGAUAACUACUGGAAACGGUAGCUAAUACCGCAUACCAUCGGAUGUGCCCAGAUGGGAUUAGCUUGUAGGUGGGGUAACGGGUCACCAAGGCGACGAUCCCUAGCUGGUGUGAGAGGAUGACCAGUCACACUGGAACUGAGACACGGUCCAGACUCCUACGGGAGGCAGCAGUGUGGAAUAUGGCACAAUGGGCGCAAGCCUGAUGCAGCUAUGCCGCUUGUAUGAAGUAGGCCUGCGGGUUUUAAAGUACUUUCAGCGAGGAGGCGUUACUCGCAGAAGAAGCACCGGCUAACUCCGUGCCAGCCGCCGCGGUAAUAC
rnacentral:rRNA from 1 species